rnacentral:lncRNA from 1 species
AAUCUUAAAAGAAUCUUUAAGAAGUCCUAAAAAUAUUAAAAUAAUAAAAAAUAUAUUUUAAAUAAAUUUCAAAUAAAUUUUAAUUUAAUCAUAAUUAAAACCUUAAUGGAAUUCAAUCAAACUCUAUACAAAUCCUAAAUCCUAAACCAAAUCCUAAAUUAAAUCCUAAAAGAAUCUUAAAUCCUAAAUCCUAAAUCAAAUCCUACAUCAAAUCCUAAAUAAAUCCUAAAUCCUAAAUCCUAAAUUAAGUCCUAGAUAAAUCUUAAAUCCUAAAUCAAACCUUAGAUAAAUUCCAAAUCCUAAAUCAAAUCCUAAACCAAAUCCUAAUCCUAUUCAAA